CCUACGGGUGGCAGCAGUCGAGAAUCAUUCACAAUGGGGGAAACCCUGAUGGUGCGACGCCGCGUGGGGGAAUGAAGGUCUUCGGAUUGUAAACCCCUGUCAUGUGGGAGCAAAUUAAAAAGAUAGUACCACAAGAGGAAGAGACGGCUAACUCUGUGCCAGCAGCCGCGGUAAUACAGAGGUCUCAAGCGUUGUUCGGAAUCACUGGGCGUAAGGCGUGCGUAGGCUGUUUCGUAAGUCGUGUGUGAAAGGCGCGGGCUCAACCCGCGGACGGCACAUGAUACUGCGAGACUAGAGUAAUGGAGGGGGAACCGGAAUUCGCGGUGUAGCAGUGAAAUGCGUAGAUAUCGAGAGGAACACUCGUGGCGAAGGCGGGUUCCUGGACAUUAACUGACGCUGAGGCACGAAGGCCAGGGGAGCGAAAGGGAUUAGAUACCCUAUAGUC
rnacentral:rRNA from 1 species